ensembl:lncRNA
UGCCGUUUUCCACUCAUCUCCCCGUCUGAUUCUCCAAGUGGUAUGCAAUGCGCAAAUCGAGCUUGCUAAACACUGUCGCCCCCUGCAGCAGUUCGAAGGCGGUGGAAAGAAGAGGUAAGGGGUAUUUGUUUUUCACAGUGAUACUGUUGAGUCGGCGGAAGUCAACACAUGGCCAAAGGGAUUUAUCCUUCUUCUCCACGAAGAAAAAGCCGGCACCUACUGGAGAUGAUGACGGUCAAAUAAUGCCCGCGGCCAAUGAGUCUGUGAUGUAUUUUUCCAUGGCCUCCCUUUCUGGCUGGGUAAGGCUAUACAGGCGGCCAGAUAGUAGGGGAGCCCCAGGAAGGAGAUCAAUAGCACAAUCAUAGGGCCUGUGAGGUGGAAGCGAGCGUGCCUCAUCCAGGGCUCUAGAGUGCGACCAAUUUGGUCGCAAAUGCGACCAAAUUUUUCAGUGCUGCGACUAAAAAAAUAUUUGGUUGCACCUGUGCGACCAAAUGUUCGGUUAGCGAAAAAAAAAAAAAAAAAAAAAAAUCUGCAACCUUCCCUGUGGUCAACAACAGACACACAUUAUGCCCCUAUCGUGGACUAAACCAAUCAGAGAUAGUAAGGGGCGGGACCUCUCUGAUUGGCCGUGGUCCAGUUGAAAGUGCAGGUGAAAGUGGGAGGUGAGUAGCUUGAAUAAAGCGAUAUCAAUUCAUUAAAUCCUGAAUCGACUUUUAAAUAUAACUGUGUUUUGCCAGAAACGCCAGAUUCUCAGAUUAAAGCUCACAAAACCAUUUCAACAACAACCAAAGAGCAAAUGAGAGCAGGUACACGGACUCCACACAAAGACGUAAACACAGAACGGACCGACGCAUCAGAAUCAACUUUGUCUUUCUCGGCUUUCUCACCCGACGGACCGUACACGGACACGCUGUCGGAGCUUAGCGAUUCUGAUGCGUCCGGUCCGCGCUGUGAUUACGUCUUUUUGCGCUGAUUCUGAGCUGCAGGUUUUGUCUCUCCAACCAAAAUUCACCGAGCCAGCAGCAAAAGAAGCAGCAAACUGCGCUUCACAUUUGAUCAAUGUCGUCAUGAAUUUUGCUGUUUUGCUUCCACGACUAUUAAAAUCACACUUCAUGCACAGCUAGCUCUCUCUCUAUCUCUCUCUGUACUUCAAGAACAGUUUCCCGUCUCCAAUCUCUGUUUUCUGUAUUAUUCAUUCGCUUAUUACUAGAGCUGGGUGAUAGAACGAUAACGAUAUCUAUCGCGAUAGACCUCGCCGCUCUUGUCCUCUUAAAAUAAAAUAAAAAAUAAAAAAAAGGUCAGCCAAUCCAAACUAAGUAGCGCAGAGCCGAACCAAUCACAGCCGCAGCGUCACGUCGCGUGACUUGUUACGUACAGCACAAGUGCCAAGCCGCACAUGUGUUUGUUUGGGAAGCAGCCAGCGGGUAAUGGAGGAAAUGAGUGUGCCGACUAGAAAAAUCAACCGAGCGUGACCGAAGAGAAAACAGAUGACGGUUCCAAUGCCGGAGAGAUUGUCGAACGGAAGAGCCAUAGAAGUUCCGUAGUUCAAUGUUCAACCAAGAUGGCGCCGCGUAUGGUCGCCCUGGUGCUUCAGUGCGUUACUUUUGUUUUGUUUUUGUGCAUUUCUUCUGUG